AGUGAACGCUGGCGGUAGGCCUAACACAUGCAAGUCGAACGGCAGCACAGGAGAGCUAGCUCUCUGGGUGGCGAGUGGCGGACGGGUGAGGAAUACAUCGGAAUCUACUCUGUCGUGGGGGAUAACGUAGGGAAACUUACGCUAAUACCGCAUACGACCUACGGGUGAAAGCAGGGGACCUUCGGGCCUUGCGCGAUUGAAUGAGCCGAUGUCGGAUUAGCUAGUUGGCGGGGUAAAGGCCCACCAAGGCGACGAUCCGUAGCUGGUCUGUGAGGAUGAUCAGCCACACUGGAACUGAGACACGGUCCAGACUCCUACGGGAGGCAGCAGUGGGGAAUACUGGACAAUGGGCGCAAGCCUGAUCCAGCCAUACCGCGUGGGUGAAGAAGGCCUUCGGGUUGUAAAGCCCUUUUGUUGGGAAAGAAAUCCAGCUGGCUAAUACCCGGUUGGGAUGACGGUACCCAAAGAAUAAGCACCGGCUAACUUCGUGCCAGCAGCCGCCGUAA
rnacentral:rRNA from 1 species